rnacentral:misc_RNA from 1 species
UAUUGAUAAGUACUUUGUGAUGAUGCGAUUUUUGGUUGCUUCAAGUUUGCCUAUUAGGUAAGAUGCAAGCCAAGAUAUGGCAGCUUAAAUAUGAAAAGCCUCAAUUUCACUUAUCCUUAUUCAAGCGAAAUUGACUGAGGUGUUAAUUAUUAGAUCCUAUUGUUAUUCAAGGUGCUCUAAUGAUUAUGUUGAAUGGUUUUACUCUCUUUCUUAUUUGUUUGGAGAGGAGAGGAGGAUGCUUUUCUAGGCAUGUUAGUGGGGGAAAAACAGAGGAGGAGGAGG